rnacentral:rRNA from 1 species
AGCUCCAAUAGCGUAUAUUAAAGUUGUUGCAGUUAAAAAGCUCGUAGUUGGAUUUCGGAGCCGACCGGGCGGUCUGUCGAGAGACACGCACUGCUCGGUGGCUCUUCCUCUCGGAGGCCCUGGCUGCCCUUAACUGGAGCGGGCAGGGGAUUCGGGACGUUUACUUUGAAAAAAUUAGAGUGUUCAAAGCAGGCUUCACUGAGCCAGAAUACAUGAGCAUGGAAUAAUGGAAUAGGACCGCGGUCUUAUUUUGUUGGUUUCUAAAACCGCAGUAAUGAUUAAGAGGGACAAUUGGGGGCGUCCGUAUUUCGUUGUCAGAGGUGAAAUUCUUGGAUUUACGAAAGACGAACAACUGCGAAAGCAUUCGCCAAGAGUGUUUUCAUUAAUCAAGAACGAAAGU